UGCCAAAUGCCAAAAGUUCUAAAGUGAAAUUUAGGGCAACAGAAGAAAUUGGAAAAGACAUUUGGAAAUACAAAGAGAUUUUCGAGGAUCCUGAAAUCAGGGCACAGGUGCAGCUGCCAGCCCUGCCUCCUGUUCAUGCUGGCUCUUGAGUGUCCCUGGAUGGAAGAUGUUUAAGGCCAGUGCUAUGAAGAAAUUAAUAAGUUCAAAUACAGUAUCUGAGGGGGAUUGGUUCCAGAACCUCCUGCAGAUACCCAAAUCCAGGAAUAGUGCAGAAAGGUGUAUACUAAACAACAUUUGGAAGAAGAAAAACCUGGCAUCAUUCUGAGAAAGUAUUUUCUCUAACUCUGAGCAUGCAGUUAAUUCUAUGGAUAAACUGAAAGGAACAGGAUGGAUAUUGGACAGCUUCCCUGCUUUUCUAGAAUCAAAUGCAAAACUAUUGUUUUAAUUCAAAUCAAUUAUCAAACUGUGCCACAUUAUUCUUCUUAUUUUUAAUCCAACGUUUAAGGAGAACCUUCUGUGAGCAAGAUCAUUCUCUGGGCAUAAGGUAUAUUCAAAGAUAACUAAGAUAGUCUCUCUCUCUCUCUCAGAGAGCUCGUAAUGUGUACAGGAAAUAAAUUACAUUUGUUGGCAAAAACCUAUAGCAUCCCAUGGAAUAAAAUGUGACACAGGCAAAUUGCAAAACUCACAGAGUUCCUGGUAGAAAGACAAGUGUUAAUGUUAAAGCUAAGAGUAUGAGCUCUAGAUUGAAAAUGGCUGCGUUCAAAUACUAACUCGGCCAACAUGUUGUUUGACUUUGGGGAAACUAUUUAACUUCUCUUGCUUUAAUUUCCUUACCUGUAAAAUUUGGGAAUAACAGUUUUACCUCAAUGGACUGGUGUGAGGAUUAAAGGAGAUGGUAAACGUAAA
rnacentral:lncRNA from 1 species